rnacentral:rRNA from 1 species
AUUGAACGCUGGCGGCAGGCUUAACACAUGCAAGUCGAGCGGGGAAGUAUAGCUUGCUAUACGACCUAGCGGCGGACGGGUGAGUAAUGCUUAGGAAUCUGCCUAUUAGUGGGGGACAACAUUCCGAAAGGAAUGCUAAUACCGCAUACGCCCUACGGGGGAAAGCAGGGGAUCUUCGGACCUUGCGCUAAUAGAUGAGCCUAAGUCAGAUUAGCUAGUUGGUGGGGUAAAGGCCUACCAAGGCGACGAUCUGUAGCGGGUCUGAGAGGAUGAUCCGCCACACUGGGACUGAGACACGGCCCAGACUCCUACGGGAGGCAGCAGUGGGGAAUAUUGGACCAUGGGCGAAAGCCUGAUCCAGCCAUGCCGCGUGUGUGAAGAAGGCCUUUUGGUUGUAAAGCACUUUAAGCGAGGAGGAGGCUACCGAGAUUAAUACUCUUGGAUAGUGGACGUUACUCGCAGAAUAAGCACCGGCUAACUCUGUGCCAGCAGCCGCAGUAACAC